rnacentral:lncRNA from 15 species
CUCUAAGUAUACAAUGAACUGAAACGAUAAAGGGAUCAAAACGACCUUGCGACACAGGGCGCUCUUCAAGAAAGGGCAUCAAGUUUAGUUAAAAAUGAAGGAGCUGCCUCAAGACUCUCAUCAUUUUAGUUUCAAGCAUGUAUCGCCUUAUUUAGAUUAUAUUGGGAGGGACGUUUAUGAGUUUAGACAGUUCUCCUCCUCCUAACUGAAGGAACUGUCUAAAAUGCUCAAAGCUUAAAACUGUGAAAAGUUGCCAUUUUGUGUUUUUGUAUAUUAGGGCUGUCACUUUUUAAUCAAAAUUUGAACUCCUGUACAAAAAACAAAAAACAAUAGAAGUAAUAUUUGAUCUGUAAUCAACUGUUUGAAUUCAAAGGCACAACAGGCUAUGCCUUGUACUCCAGCGGGGGGGCAUUCCUUAAAUGCACUGUCUGUCUGUUUGCUGACAUUGUGAAGUGCAACUGCCUCUAACGUUAGCUUGUCACUCAAGUGAGGCAAGCAGAGGCACAGCAAAUGAAUGGAACACGGUUAGACUGGAUUUUGCCUGGCAAAAUGUACUUGCAUCCUGAGGCAAGAACAGAGACAGGAGAGAGUUUGCAGGGUUUUAUACAGGAGCUACAUACUAUAAGUUCCAGAAGAUCGGGCGUAAAGAGGAAGAAAGAUAUCACAUUACAAGGUGGCGUGGAGGCAAGUGGAGUGUGCAACCACCGGGAAUGAAGUGACAGGCUGUGGUGGAGCACAGGGACAGAAUCAAAAGUCACUCCAUACAGAGGUUCUGGUCCAGAGGCCCUGGGCUUGUACCUGGAAGACCCAUUCAAUGAUCCAACCAUGAUACUAAAAAGCCAACUACCUUUAACCUCAGGAGGGGCCCAUGCCUUCCCACGGAUACCCCUCUAGCCUCGUCCUUCCAUGUGAGGCAAAAACAGGCAUACACACACACAAACACACGCUCACAGAGGGAAGCAAAUUUGUAAAGGAGAAUGUCUCACAUGCAAACGUAGCCAAACACUGCGGACAUCUCUCAGGGACCAGCAUGUCAUCGUUGUUGACAUAUUGAUCAAGAGUAGCCCUCCUCUUGUGCAGACCGUCUGCAACACUUAAUGAUCAACGUGGAACACAAAGCUUCAAGCAACGCAGACACAUUGACAGCCUAUGAUUAAAUCAGUUACAGUGGCAGCAUUGUUGACGACAAUGAUGAUAGCACUGAGGGCACUUAUCAAAGGAAAAGGGCCAAUAGCUUACCACCACUGCACACAUUUACAAAUAUACAUUCAUGGAAGCUGAUGGAGGAAAUUAAUUUGAGCCAAAAAACAAAGCAUUUAUCAUCAAACUGAGUGGUCACCUAACCCAGAAUUCUGCAGAGCUCAUGAAUAAUUGUUUCCAAGCGUUAUGCUUUGCCUGUCAGUCAGAAGCGCUCUGCGUUAGCUGUAAUACAUCUGAAUUAAGCGCCUGGUGGCACUCUGUCACGUACACCCCGUCGUAAGCCGUUAAAUACAUAAAUCGGGUUUAAAUGAACACACACACCACUUGUCUUGCCUGGUUUGCAGGGUAAUUCAUCUUCCAACUCCAUGAUUCUGUUAUGCAGUCAAAUUGACAAGUAAUCCAUUGCUGGUGUCCUUGUUGUCAACAUUAAGGUCAUUUCUGAUUGUUGCAUUGAGUGAACAGACUUGCAGCUUUGCAACACUUUGCAGGGGGUGAGGGAAGAUAUGGCAGGCGAAUGUAUCAAUGGAUAGUGUAUGAGUUGAAUGACAACCUGCUGAGGCUACAAAGUCAAGAACACAAACUUUUAGCUAUUUAGGUCCGUACUAAAAUCAUUUAAAAGACUGCAGUCACUUUCAGUCCCAGCAUCAUCCAAAGAUGACAGUCCUCAUUUUUUUUGGCAAGUCACGCUGUAUCUUUUGGAAUCCUUGUCACAGAGACUGAAAGGUACAGGCGUAUGCAAUAUCUGUCAGGGGACGAUGCAAGUACCGUAGUACGUGUUUUUGAACAAGUGUGCUCAGGCUUUAAAUGGAUUACAGCUCAUUAUCCCCAAUUACUUUUCAGAAUAAGCCAGGGAAAUAGAGAGGAAACCUGACAUGUUGGUUUGUUAAAGCUGCUUUCAAGAAACCUACACAGAGGUGGUGGAUAGAGCUAUAAAAAGAUUCAUUCUUUUUUCUUAAUUAGUACACUUGAGAGGGUUUUUUGUGGAAGCCAUACAUAUUUCGAGGUCAAGAUAUAGAAUUGUGUUUGCCUUAUAAAUAAACUCCAGA